AUACAACCUUCCCCUAAGUUAACAUUGGUUCCUCUUUUGUGUUCGCGUUUUACUUUCCCCCUUUUGGAUCGUACGUUUUAGCCAUAUUUUCCUAUUUAUUUAUUUUUUCUUUACAGUGAGCACGUUUAUAUUUUGAUACGUGAACCUUAGUUCAGAUGUCGGAAAAAUUACUAAAAUGAACGGAAGAUACCGCGAGCAAGCAAAGCCACCGAUAAUGCUGGAUUGGAGUUAGCAUAUAAAGUGAGGCUCACAAUGUUAUUAUUUUUCUUAUAUUAAUGUUACUAGUGGUCCCUAAGCUUAAUAUUCUGUUUUGCAGGUGCAAAACAAAAACACGUGACAGUGGAGAUGAUGGAACAGCACAGAUGUGCAACAUGUGGGCAGACUUUCUCAGAUGGUGGCCUGUCUGCGUCUCACAGCUGCUCAGACCGCCUACAUCAGACCCCCACUUGUCGGCCAAGAAGGGGGAAAAGUUCCAGCCAAGUCUGCACAUCAUCAGAACCGAAAAAUGGCAAAGAAGAAGCACAGCAACAAGUGAACAAUGUGGAAAAAGCGAGAAAGACGACGAAAAAAGACACAUGUUCAGCCAUGAAUGCCACACUAUUGCCAACCAAAGAAUACCUUGCAGAGGGGGCCGAGCACAUUUACCGUACCCACACUUGCCCCAAAUGUCGGCGCUGUUUCAAGAUGCGUUCCCAUCUGCAGGAGCAUCUCCAUCUCCAUUCCCCCGACCCCAGUCUGCAGUGUCCCACCUGCAAGCGGUUCUUCACGAGCAGGAGCAAACUGCGCGUACACCGACUCCGUGAGGAGGGCGAAAAAGUGCACCGUUGCCACCUGUGUGAAUAUUCCGCCGUGGAACGCAACGCGGUCCGCCGCCACCUCACCACAAAGCAUGGGGACCAGGCAGAAGACGGGAAGAUACGCCACAGCUACCCGUGUCCUGCAUGUGGUCAAAGCUUUAACCAGAGCAGGUUGCUGAAGGCUCACAUGAAGACGCACAACGUCAAACCCGACUGCGACGCGGCCAUGUCUUGCUUCCAAGAGGGUUGUUCCUUCCAGACGCCUCUGCGCAAGGCUCUCGUCCAACAUGCCGCGGAGGCGCAUGAGACGGAGGCGGUGGAAUGUCGACAUCACGCCUGCGCCGCCAUCUUUCCAGGUGACAAGGAAAUGGAGGCUCAUUACAGGACCCACCUGGCCUACCACUGCUCUCAGUGCGAGUUCUCGUCCUCCAACAAGAGCGCCUUCCUCCAGCAUCAGCGCCACGGCCAUCCAGGGAGUGAGAAACUCUGUUGUGACUUUUGCGCCUUUUUCACGUUCAACCCUGUGGAAUUUGAGCAGCACGUCGGACACUUACAUGCCAACGAGAAGAUCCAUCACUGCCCUCAGUGCAGCUAUGUGACCUCACACAAGAGAGGCUUGAGGCGACACAUGCUUAUGCACAGCGGUGAGAAGCCCUUCAAGUGCAGCCUCUGUGACUUCCGAUGCCGAGAUGUCUCCUACCUCUCAAAACAUUUGCUCACACACUCGGACGACAAGAACUUCAUGUGUGCCGAGUGUGGAUACGUCACCAAAUGGAAACACUACUUAAACGUCCAUAUGAGGAAACAUGCAGGAGAGCUCAGGUAUGAGUGUGACAGGUGCCCAUAUCGCUGUCACCGCAUGGACCAGCUCAACAGCCACAAACUACGACAUCAAGCCAAAUCACUGAUGUGUGAGAUCUGCGCGUACGCCUGCAAGCGCAAAUAUGAGCUCCGGAAUCACAUGCGGGCAAAACAUCCUGCAAUGGGCCAACAAGCAUCUGUAUAUAAGUGCAAAUACUGCACAUACACCACAUGUUUUCGACAAGCCCUGCAAAAUCACGAGAAUUGCAAACACACCAGGCUGAAACAGUACUGCUGCGCUCUCUGUCCUUAUUCCUCCUUCAGUAGCAUCAGCCUCUUCUUGCACAAGAGGAAAGCCCAUGGAUACGUACCCGGGGACCAAACCUGGCUGAAGAAUUAUGCAGCAAAAGAAAGGGAAAGGAAUUCAUCGAGCAUGUCACAGGAUUUCCACAAUGAGUCACUAACAGGCAAUGAGAGAUCUGAGCAGCGUACUGAAGAAGCUCCAGCAGAUUACGUUGCCAGUGAAGGUCCUGAAGCGAAUACACAAGGUGUCGAAUCACUGGAUGUUGAUGAAGUUGGCCGUAAAGAGGUUACCCAUGAAGGGAUAUCGGAUAGCCUGCCACCUAGCACCAGCCCUGAGUACUGCACUCUUGUUUUGACAGCAUUAACGGCUGACUAUGAAACUGAUUUUUUGCAAAAGGAGUACGCAGCCGCUCACAUGACACCCCCUUUACACUGCAGUAAAUCAGCCCUAGAAAAAGAAGAAAUCCUUUUAUCUACACACAUUUCAGAGGCAGAAACGCUUCCCGGGGUUAAUGAAGAAGGCCAACAAAGUCUAGCCGCUGACGAUUAUGAGUCAGAGCAGGAAACUGUAGAAUUGGAUAAUGAUUGCGGCAGUUCAGAAUCUUCCCAUGUGAAGCACCCUCUGUUAGAGUCUUGUUUGAAACCCACGAGGACACAAGAUAAGGAACAAUCAGAAGCUAUGGUUUUGGAGGGAAGAGUCCAGAUGCUUGUGGUGCCGACUAAAGAUGGUUGUGACAAAUCGUCUUAUGUUACAAAAAAGAAGAAGACUCUGAAGCAGCACUCUCCGUUUGCUUGUUGUGAUAGAACACAACAUCACGAGUGCCAGGCAUGUGGUGCCCAGUUCAAACAGAGGCGGGGCCUUAAUAGCCACAUUGCCAGGAAAUGUGCUGCAAUUCCUAAAAAAAACACAACUUUCAUUGGCAAAGCGGUCGCACAAACAGAAGACCGCCGUGCUGUGGGUCCAGACAUGUCCAAAAAGCGGGGAGCGACACAGUCACGUGACAAAAUCCUCACAAACCAAAACAGGAUUUCCUCAGAAGUAAAUGAGGAGUGCCUUCUUCGACAAAAACAGGAUGGAUCUUCAUGUAAUUUAACGGAUUCUCAAAGCGCCUCUACGUUCACUGAGUCGAAUCCUCAGCGGAGCAACAAACUGACAAAAAAGCCUUCAAAGACUCAACAAGAAGACAUUCCAGUCCAGAGUGGAAAAUUCACGUGCAGCCUCUGCAGUUUUUCAUCAGUCAGGCUUGCAACAGUGAACAGACACAUUUCCAUUUGCCAAAAGCGGUCACGAAAAAAAGAAAAUGUGACCAUCCCAGUUGAGAAAGACCUUAAAAGUGAGGCCCCACGCGUCGCACCUCACACAUGCCAAUACUGUCCUUUCGCCACCACCAGGCGCUAUCGCCUGGAAGAACACGAGUCUCUUCACACCGGAAUCGGGCGCCACGCCUGCGAUGUUUGCGACAAAACCUUCGGAGCGUUGACCAAACUGCGUCAACACAAGUUGCGCAUCCACGACAAACGACCCUCUCAGACGUGCCCGCUCUGUGACUACAGCGGCUACACACUUGACGACGUGAGAAGACACACCCUCAGAUGCCACACAGGGGAAAUGCGUCACACCUGCACUCACUGUGAAGCUCGCUUCAGUUCCGAAGUUGCUCUGAGAAACCACGGCAAACGUGUUCACCAGCCCCUCGUGCUUUUCUCAUGCGACCAGUGUGAGUACACUUGUAGCAACGAGACCACACUCAGGACCCACCAACAGGGCAAACACCCACAAAUGAGCGGCACCACCUGCAAGGAGAAGAGCAUCAAGGUCCCGCGCAAAGUCCACCUCAAACAUCAGUGCCAGCUCUGCCCUUUUGCGGGUAAAACGAGGCAGAUCCUCGCCCGACACCUUCUGGACGAGCACGAGGAGGGGUCUCUGCUGGAUAAGCCUCUCAGGUGCAGCAACUGUCCGUUCGCUUGUCAGCAUCCGCUGGUGUUGGAGCAGCAUCUCCGCUCCCACGGAGGCAAGCGUGUGUACAAAUGCAGCGACUGCAAGUAUUCAACUGGCAACAAGCAGAAGAUGACGUGGCACGUUCGCAUCCACACCGGGGAGAAGCCUUACAAGUGUGAGCUUUGUAGUUACGCCUGCAUUGAUCCAUCAAGGUUGAAGCUGCAUAUGAGGGUUCAUCAAGAAGAGAAGAAGUACCUUUGUCCGGAGUGUGGAUACAAAUGCAAGUGGGCCACUCAACUAAAAUACCACAUGACCAAGCAUACAGGUGAGAAACCACAUGCCUGCGAUCAAUGCAAUUACCGCACCAACCGAGCAGACGCCCUCCGUACACACCGGGACACGCAGCACUGCGACGUGCGCUCCUACGUCUGCGAGAAAUGCGGCAAAGCCUUCAAGACGAGUUUCAUCCUAAAGACUCACCAGCGGCAGCACAGCGACCAACGUCCGUACACCUGCGGCUGGUGCCACAAGUCCUUCCGCUGGCCCGCCGGCCUCAGGCACCACUUCCUCUCGCACACCAAACAGCAGCCGUUUCACUGUGGCCAUUGUUCCUACAGAGCCAAGCAAAAGUUCCAAGUCAUCAAGCAUUUACGGCGCCACCACCCGGACGUGCCGGUGGAGCAGGGCGUGGUACGAGACUCCCAGGCUGGCAGCCUCACCCUGAAGGAGGCUUUGCGAGGAACACUGAAUGACAGUGUAGUCAUGGAAACGGAGGCGGAAGAGAGAGAUGACAGAAACAUAGCACAAAGGGAGAAGACGAAACGAUGAGGAGUGGUUGCUAAACUGAAGACCAUCGCAGUAUCUUAACCACCUAUGAUGAAUAUCCUCUUUUCUCACUUACAAAUGUUUUCACAGUGUUGGAAACACAAAAUAAGUGCAAGAUGUAAACGCAGCAUCCGUCCAUCCAUUUCUUCCGCUUAUCCGAGGUCGGGUCGCGGGGGCAGCUCCCUAAGCAGAGAAGCCCAGACUUCCCUCUCUCCAGCCACUUUGUCCAGCUCUUCGCAAGUGGUCCCGAGGCGUUCCCAGGCCAGCCGGGAGACAGUCUUCCCAACGUGUCCCGAGUCUUCCCCUUGGCCUCCGGAGGGAGGUGUUCAGGUGGCAUCCUGAACAAAUGCCCGAACCACCUCAUCUGGCUCCUCUCCAUGUGAAGGAGCAGCGGCUUUACUCUGAGCUCCUCCCGGGUGACAGAGCUUCUCACCCUAUCUCUAAGGGAGAGCCCCGCUACCCGGCGGAGGAAACUCAUUUUGGCCGCUUGUACCCGUGAUCUUGUCCUUUCGGUCAUAACCCAAAGCUCAUGACCCUAAAUGAGGAUGGGAACGUAGAUCGACUGGUAAAUUUAGAGCUUUGCCUUCCGGCUCAGCUCCUUCUUCACCACAACGGAUCGAUACAACGUCCGCAUUACUGAAAACGCCGCACUGAUCUGUUAAUCACAAGAUCCACUCUUCCCCCACUUGUGAGCAAGACUCUUAGGUACUUGAACUCCUCCACUUGGGGCAGGGUCUCCUCCCCAAUUUGGAGAUGGCACUCCACCCUUACCCGGGCGAGAACCACGGACUCGGACUUGGAGGUGCUGAUUCUCAUCCCAGUCGCUUCACACUCGGCUGCGAACCGAUCCAGUCAGAGCUGAAGAUCCAGGCCAGUUGAAGCCGACAGGACCACAUCAUCUGCAAAAAGCAGAGACCUAAUCCUGCGGUCACCAAACCGGAUCCCAUCAACGUCCUGACGGCGCCUAGAAAUUCUGUCCAUAAAAGUUAUGAACAGAAUCGGUGACAAAGGGCAGCCUUGGCGUAGUCCAACCCUCACUGGAAACGGGUUCGACUUACUGCCGGCAAUGCGGACCAAGCUCUGACACUGAUCGUACAGGGAGCGGACCGCCACAAUCAGACAGUCCGAUACCCCAUACUCUCUGAGCAUUCUCCACAAGACUUCCCGGGGGACAUGGUUGAAUGCCUUCUCCAAGUCCACAUCUAUGAAUCCAGCUGUAGACGCUAUAUAUUGCGGUUUAAAUCAAGAAUCAAUUCUAGAUCAAAUUUUCACCCGAAAAAUCGUAAUCAAAUUGUGAGUCGUUGUAAGAUUCCUAUUCCUUGUGGACACUGUACCUCUAGCCCAUUCACACAACAUUUUCCAGCAGGAAGAUGCUUUGACAAGACUUGUUGUUGUAGGACUGCACAUUUUGUGAGGAAAAUACUUUACACUGUUAUUGUUUUUAAAAAUGUGCUUAAUUAUUUUGUGAGGCAUACUAUAGCACGGGGGUCGGGAACCUUUUUGGUUGAGAGAGCCAUGAAAGCCAAAUAUUUUAAAAUGUAUAUCUGUAAGAGCCGUAUAAUAUUUUUAAAACCGAAUACAACUAUCAGGUUCAAACACUGAUGACAUCUAUUAAACAGACAAGAAGCAAGGAAUUAAACAGAGACAGGAUUCAAUUUAGCUCAAUGAGGAGAAACCCGUAGACCUGUACCCUUGUACAGUGUCGUCCCAGGCUCUGACAAGAGAAUUCUACGCCUCCUCUUUUAUUUGGACUUUCCCUGAUUACAACAACUAAAUGCGUGCAUCUCUUAUUCUUUUUAAUAACAUUGUUAUUCUGAAGCUAACUAAUCUUGAACAGGUGCGAUAGAAAUAGAUGAAUGGAUUAAAAUGCAUGAGAAUGUUUUAUAUUUUGAAAGUUAUUUUUAACACUGUGAUUAAUAGCGGAAUUAUUAAUUACUUAUCGUGUUAAGCAACGUCAACUAAGAUUUAUCUGAGAGGUUCCCUACCCCUGCUAUAGCAGUUAAAGUGGCUGUUUAAGGGAUUGGUGUGGAUGAGUUCUUGAAAUUUAAUCCUGGUGAAUAGCGGGUAUCUACAGUAUCUAAAACGGUUGUUUUUGUUCUGUUUUGUUGAUUUUUUUUUUUUUUUUAGAUGUAUCAUGAUUUUAAUUUGUAACAAUUCUUAAUCGAUUAAAAAAAAAAUCAAAAUUAGAUGUAUUAAUUUUUUAAGAAUUUAUUUUUAAAAGGUCGUUUUAGACCAUCUCUAUUCGGGGUGUCAAAAAAUAGAUAUUUUUUAAUUAUUUUAUUAUUAUUUUUUUAGAAUAAUUGUGAUUCUUAUUUGUAACAAUUCUUAAUCGAUCUUUUAAAAAAAAAUCAAAAAUAGAUUUAUUUAGUUUUUAGGAAUUUAUUUUCAAAAGGUCAUUUUAGACCAUCUCCAUUAGGGGUGUCAAAAAAUA